rnacentral:rRNA from 1 species
GAUGAGCGCUGGCGGCGUGCCUAAUACAUGCAAGUCGAGCGAAUGGAUUAAGAGCUUGCUCUUAUGAAGUUAGCGGCGGACGGGUGAGUAACACGUGGGUAACCUGCCCAUAAGACUGGGAUAACUCCGGGAAACCGGGGCUAAUACCGGAUAACAUUUUGAACCGCAUGGUUCGAAAUUGAAAGGCGGCUUCGGCUGUCACUUAUGGAUGGACCCGCGUCGCAUUAGCUAGUUGGUGAGGUAACGGCUCACCAAGGCAACGAUGCGUAGCCGACCUGAGAGGGGGAUCGGCCACACGGGGACUGAGACACGGCCCAGACUCCUACGGGAGGCAGCAGUAGGGAAUCUUCCGCAAUGGACGAAAGUCUGACGGAGCAACGCCGCGUAAGUGAUGAAGGCUUUCGGGUCGUAAAGCUCUGUUGUUAGGGAAGAACAAGUGCUAGUUGAAUAAGCUGGCACCUUGACGGUACCUAACCAGAAAGCCACGGCUAACUACGUGCCAGCAGCCGCGGUAA